GUGAGACUCAGCUUAUGGCUGAACCUCAUAGGCUUCCAUACUUGGCAGAAGGAGGCCGUUAUGUGGUGUCUCGGGGUGCAAAGGAUAACGCUGUAAAAAUUUGGAAACCAUCUUGUCCAGAGCUGGUUGAACAUUAUCAUCCUGGCUAAUGAAGCAUCGUGCCUACAACAUCUGACUGAUGGGGAAGUAAUGUAGCAUAAGAAGGAGAUAGCAACUAAUCAAAUGAAGAAUUAGGGGAUUAGGUGGAAAAAUCUGUGACAAAAUGAUCAUUUGUAAUCAAUACCAAGGAUUCUUCUCAGCAAAGGAAGAGUAGACAUGGCUACAACAGUAGGUUGUGGGGGUAACAGACGACAAUUCCCAUCCUGCACCUCUGUCAUCUACUCUAGGCUGUACAACCUGUAUACCCCUGAUUGGCAGAGAAUAAGUCUCCACACUAUUGUACA